GCUCGUUUUACUUCCUUCCACUUUAGGUCACUUAGUGGAUCAGAAACAAAGUCAAAAAGUACACAACAUUGUCGUAACUUCUGGAUAAAAAGCUUUUCUUGAUCAGCAGGAGGAACAUCUUUUAAAGCUGGCAGUUUUUGAAGCUCCCUGUUAUUGCUGACAUUAAACCUUGAUGAACUCUGGCGUUUUUCCUUUUUCAGUACUGUCUGGGGUGCUGGUACUUUGAUUUUAGAUAGCUGUGCUGGGGGAGGAGCGCUGUUUGAUUUUUUGUUUGACACUUCAUGUUCUUGGUUUUCUUGUCCAUCUUUGCCACUUUUUCCACUUUUGCCCGAUUUUGCAGGUUCUUUCUCCUUCUUGUUUUUAUUCGGCAUGGCCUCUCCGGGCGCCGCGGCCGGACACGCGCAACCCCCGGCGGCCCCACUCGGCGCUGCGCCCGCCCCGCGCUGCCGCUCCCCCGGCUCCGGCGGCGGCCUCAGCCUUCCGCCCGCCCCCUUCCUCCUCCGCCGCCCGCGG
rnacentral:lncRNA from 1 species